rnacentral:rRNA from 1 species
AAUAAAAAUUAUGAAAGCAAAAAAUUAUGGCGGUAUUUUAAGCUUUUCAGAGGAAUUUGCUCUUUAAUGGAUAAAACACCUAAAUCUUACUUAAAUUUGUUAAUUCAAUCUGUAUACCACUAUAAAAACAAUUUAUAACUUUAAUUGUUUAAAUUUAUUAAAUUAAAAUAUAUUAAGUCAAGGUGCAGUAAAAAUUUAAGAAUGAAGUGAAUUACAUUACUCUUUAGAGAAAUAAAUUUAAAAUAAUAUUUAGGAUUUGAAAGUAAAAUUAAAAUAGAAUG